rnacentral:rRNA from 1 species
UACGUAGGCAGCGAGCGUUGUUCGGAGUUACUGGGCGUAAAGGGUGUGUAGGCGGUUCUUUAAGUUUGGUGUGAAAUCUCCCGGCUCAACCGGGAGGGUGCGCCGAAUACUGAGGGACUUCGAGUGCGGGAGAGGAAAGUGGAAUUCCUGGUGUAGCGGUGAAAUGCGUAGAUAUCAGGAGGAACACCGACGGCGCAGGCAGCGUCCUGGCCGCUUGCUGACACUGAGGCACGAAAGCUGGGGGAGCAAACAGG